UUCGCCCUUAGAGUUUGAUCCUGGCUCAGAACGAACGCUGGCGGCAGGCUUAACACAUGCAAGUCGAACGCCCCUUUCGGGGGGAGUGGCAGACGGGUGAGUAACACGUGGGAACGUACCUCUUUGUUCGGAAUAACUCAUGGAAACGUGAGCUAAUACCGGAUACGCCCUUUUGGGGAAAGAUUUAUCGCAGAGAGAUCGGCCCGCGUCUGAUUAGCUAGUUGGUGAGGUAAUGGCUCACCAAGGCGACGAUCAGUAGCUGGUCUGAGAGGAUGAUCAGCCACACUGGGACUGAGACACGGCCCAGACUCCUACGGGAGGCAGCAGUGGGGAAUAUUGGGCAAUGGGGGCAACCCUGAUCCAGCCAUGCCGCGUGAGUGAUGAAGGCCUUAGGGUUGUAAAGCUCUUUUAUCCGGGAAGAUAAUGACUGUACCGGAAGAAUAAGCCCCGGCUAACUUCGUGCCAGCAGCCGCGGUAAUACGAAGGGGGCUAGCGUUGUUCGGAAUCACUGGGCGUAAAGGGCGCGUAGGCGGAUGAUUAAGUCAGGGGUGAAAUCCCGGGGCUCAACCUCGGAAUUGCCCUUGAUACUGGUUGUCUUGAGAUUGGAAGAGGUAAGUGGAAUUGCGAGUGUAGAGGUGAAAUUCGUAGAUAUUCGCAAGAACACCGGUGGCGAAGGCGACUUACUGGUCCAUAUCUGACGCUGAGGCGCGAAAGCGUGGGGAGCAAACAGGAUUAGAUACCCUGGUAGUCCACGCCGU
rnacentral:rRNA from 1 species